rnacentral:rRNA from 1 species
GACGAACGCUGGCGGCGUGCCUAAUACAUGCAAGUAGAACGCUGAAGGAAGGAGCUUGCUCUUUCUGGAUGAGUUGCGAACGGGUGAGUAACGCGUAGGUAACCUGCCUGGUAGCGGGGGAUAACUAUUGGAAACGAUAGCUAAUACCGCAUAAAAUUGAUUAUUGCAUGAUAGUCAAUUAAAAGGUGCAACUGCACCACUACCAGAUGGACCUGCGUUGUAUUAGCUAGUUGGUGGGGUAACGGCUCACCAAGGCGACGAUACAGAGCCGACCUGAGAGGGUGGUCGGCCACACUGGGACUGAGACACGGCCCAGACUCCUACAGGAGGGAGCAGUAGGGAAACUUCGGCAAGGGGCGGGAGUCUGACCGAGCAACGCCGCGGGAGGGAAGAAGGAUGUCGGAUCGUAAAGCUCGGUUGUAAGGGAAGAACGAGUGUGAGAGUGGAAAGUUCACACUGUGACGGUAUCUUACCAGAAAGGGACGGCUAACUACGUG